UCCUAUCCUAGGUAUUCCUUAAAGAGGUGGGGUUUCAGGUGUCUCCGGAAGGUGGUGAUUGACUCCGCUGUCCUGGCGUCGUGAGGGAGUUUGUUCCACCAUUGGGGGGCCAGAGCAGCGAACAGUUUCUUAUGAGCCUGCUGCUGCCUACCACCACUCAGUCAGACUGCUCUAACAAAUAUCAAAUCAUAGACUUAAUUAUAAUAUAAUAAACACACAGAAAUACGAGCCUUAGGUCAUUAAUAUGGUCAAAUCCAGAAACUAUCAUUUCGAAAACAAAACGUUUAUUCUUUCAGUGAAAUACGGAACCGUUCCGUAUUCAAACGGGUGGCAUCCCUAAGUCUAAAUAUUGCUGUUACAUUGCACAACCUUCAAUGUUAUGUCAUAAUUAUGUAAAAUUCUGGCAAAUUAAUUACUGUCUUUGUUAGGAAGAGUUUGGGCGGCCCAAACUGCUGCAUAUACCCUGACUGUGCUUGUACAGAACGCAAGAGAGGUGACACAAUUUCCCAAGUUAAUAUUGCCUGCUAACAUGAAUUUCUUAUAACUAAAUAUGCAGGUUUAAAAUAAUAUACUUGUGUAUUGAUUUUAAGAAAGGCAUUGAUGUUUAUGGUUAGGUACACACGCAGGACAAGCUAGUUAAACUAGUAUAAUAAUCAGCCAUGUGUAGUUAACUAGUGAUUAUUUUAAGAUUGAUUGUUUUUUAUAAGAUAAGUUUGAUGCUGGCUUGCAACUUACAUUGGCUCCUUGCUGCACUCGUGGAGUGCAAUGUGAUCGGUGUCCAAAAAUGCAGAUUACCGAUUGUUAAGAAAACUUGAAGUCGACCUCUAUUCUGUACGGGGGAUAAUUUGAUGUAGGCCUCAUUAAACAUUGUGUACUUCCUACAAGUUAGUGUUAUGCUGUGUUCAGUGUGACACAGUGUGUUCGUGUGGGCUGAAUCAUGUUGGCUUGGGCCUGCCUUGCUGUUGCUGUCUACGUACAUGCACAAGUGCAUGUGUGUGCUAUUACUCUAUAUUUUUUUGAAUGUGUGUCAUGAUACCUUUCCCCUUUCCCACCUCAGGAGAGGCAGUGUGAGCGGACUGACUCUGAAGCUGAUCAAGGCAUCAGUGACGGAGAUGCUGGAUACUGUCUGAUGACGACUAUGUCAACGUGGCCAGGGUGCGUAUGUCUGAUAAUGUGGUACUUUCGUUAAACCUGGGAUUGAUAUUUCAUUGGUUAUACAUUUUUUUUUAUGUAUUAUUUUUGAUACAUGGAUAUCAACAUAAAACAUGUUGCACAACCUUAAACAACACAACAAAACACUAUCAUAUGACGGUUAUACAUUUGUUAAUAAUCAACCCCUCCCUUCCUCCCUCUCUAACCCACUGUCUUUAUCUCUCUAACCUGCUCUCUCAUAGUCUUUCUUCAAACUCUCUUCUGCUCUGUCCUUCUCUCUCCUGCCCUGUUUCAGUUUAAUGAGAAGGCAGAGGCAGUGGUCCCUUGCUUCAAACACCUGGUCCAGGCCAACGUUCGCAACAAGAAGAUCUUCAAAGAGACUGUGCAGAUCAUGCAAGCUAAAGGCACCACAGACUACAAGUCUGGUUUACACUUUGCCUAUGUGGCUCUAUAGGAGUAGACAGUGUUAUAUAUGGAAUGGGUGAUCCUGUUUGGCUUAGUUGGUAAGAGUGUAACAGUUGUUAAAGUACUAUGUGAAUUUCACCAGGUUCAUAUAUUAAUAUGUCGUGUUGAUUUGUUAUUAUGCAUGCUUGCAUCCUGGGAGAAGGGGAGUGUGUACUUACGUUUUGCCCUGCGUGCUCGAAUCAUUUUGAUGCACUGAGAGGUAGGGACGCUUUUUCUGUCUUCAGAAAAGUUUGAUUCUUUUAAGUACAAAGUCAAACACACAGUGUUUUGUUCAUGAAUAAUGAUGUAUAUUUAGAGGUCACUCAAAAGUGGAUGCACUUGUAAUUGUACUUUUUAGGAUGAUCUCAACAUUCUGAAUUCAACAUAUGGUUAAUAGCUAGUUAAGGUAUUAGCAGGCUAUUGUAUGUGUGAACGAUGGCUAGCUCCUCGAAUGAUCCCAGUCCCUCCUAUUGUGCAUCUGUUGUAGAAAGAGGCGACGAUUCGCAGAACAUAUGUGCUCAACAAAUGUUUUAUUUCCUUUUGGAUGCAGAUGCAGGAUGCAGAGAGUGAGUUCUGCUUGAUUAAAACUACCUGAUCUGCAAAGUCCACGUCUAUAGUCUCAAUCAACCUCACACAACGCAGAGUUACAGCGGUGCAGUAUAGCACCGGUUACUUGUGUGCUUCUAGACCCGGAUUCAUCGUUGAUCGACGUCAGCUCAAUCACCGCUGCGCUGCUGCUCUAGAGACGAAUUAUAUAAUUGAGGUACUCUUGCCGCCUUGUGACAAAAAGCGGAACUACAGUCUUUUUCUUGUUUAUUUUAUUUCUGACAACGAUGUAUUGAGAGCUCUGUUUAUAGUUAACCAACAUAGAAGUGUGUUCAUCAACAGACAUUUUAACGUAACAUUAGUGGUUUUACAAUGGUGAUGAACCCAAUUCACUGCUGGGAGGGGGAGGUUUUUCUCAUACUCUGAUCAAACCCCUGUAAAGUGUGUAGGUGCAGGAGGUUCCCCCAUGUUCUGCUCCACCAAAUUUUGGGAUGAAAGCCCUUCAUCCUUUGUUAAUCUAAAUGCCCCUGUAGAUGGUCUAGCUGAGCUGGUCACUCAGCUAGCCCGGGAAAUAGGGAGCUCCAUUAGGGAAGAACUACAGAGUGGCAGGUCCAGGACUUAUGAGCCACCAGUAAGUACAGAAAAGAUAAGUAAUCAUCAUUCAGAGUCAGUAGGAUAUGUAGAUCUCAGUCAAAUUAAGUUUAUCAUGCAAUCAGACAUAAAGGAACCACCUACAUAUAGAGUAGAUGGUACAGACAAAUGCUCCAUUCAUGAAUGGGAGGAGUUGAUGAGAAUAUACUUGAGGAGGAAGGGAUGUCCUGUUGGGGAACAAUCACCUGAGAUGAUUAGUCGAUUAUCUGGCAAAGCAAGAGACAUGGUAAAGAUACAUUUACCCAAUGAGACAACAGUUGAUCCUACAGAGAAGCCAGAGAUUGUAUUUGACAUUUUGAAACAGAAUUUCAGCGAAUUUGUCACGGUUUUCAUGUGGUGAAGGAGAGUCGGACCAAACUGCAGCGUGUAUAUUGCGAUCCAUGUUUAAUCACACAACGUAACACGAAUCCAAAACACAAACUCUACAAAACAAUAAACAUAAUGAAACCUGAAACAGCCUAAACUGGUGCAAACUAACACAGACUAAGGACAUCAAGACACUCAGGACAAUCACCCACGACAAACUCAAAGAAUAUGGCUGCCUAAAUAUGGUUCCCAAUCAGAGACAACGAUAAGCACCUGCCUCUGAUUGAGAACCACUCCAGACAGCCAUAGACUUUGCUAGAUAACCCCACUAGCUACAAUCCCAAAUACAUACACACCAAAACCCCAAGACAAAACACACCACAAUACAAAAACUCCAUGCUACACCCUGGCCUGACCCAAUACAUGAAGAAAAACACAAAAUACUUAGACCAGGGCGUGACAGAAUUGGCCUAUUCAUGCAUGCCCUUGGCUGAUUUUUACAAUACUAAACCUGUACCCGUAGAGCCUGUUAUGGAGUAUUGGGUUCGAUUGAACAAGGCCGUAGAUGUCGCUGACGAGGGCCUUAACCUCUCUAGGAUAGGGGACGCUAGCGUCUCACUUGGCCAAAAGCCAGGGAAAAUGCAGCGGGCAAAUUCAAAUAAAAUGAUAUCAGAAUCAAACUUUCAUUAAAUCACACAUGUAAGAUACUAAAUUAAAGCUUCACUCGUUGUGAAUCCAGCCAACAUGUCAGAUUUUUAAAAGGCUUUUCGGCGAAAGCAUAAGAAGCUAUUAUCUGAUGAUAGCACAACAGUAAACGAAGAGAGUAGCAUAUUUCAACCCUGCAGGCGCUACACAAAACGCAUAAAUAAAAUAUAAAUCAUGCCUUUGACGAGCUUCUUUUGUUGGCACUCCAAUAUGUCCCAUAAACAUCACAAUUGGUCCUUUGUGUCUUAAAUGUUUUGUUUGUCAAUGUAUCUGUUUUACUUCUGAAGAUCAGUUUAGCACCGACUGAAAAACCCGAUUCAAAUUCAACACAAACCUUCAAAUAGGUAUGUAAUGACACAUUAUAUCAACUCUUUAUAGUGUUUUAUUUACAUUUUAGAGGUGAUAAUGUGAUAAGAUGGUCAGAUCGAGUGGAAAAAAAGCAGUUUCCCCACACGACAUCUCACUAUCACGCAAUAGGUUUUGAUUCCCCACCGGCCAUUUUGAAAAAGACCCGACGGAGCUCAUUGCCUUCUUGAUUCAUGCAGAGAUGGGCAUCAUGAAGGUCUCAUCAAUGAUUUUUUGGGAAAGAGGAGACAUUGUUCUUUACAAUGGUAUUGAUAUUACAGUUGAUAUGGAAGUACUACUUUUUUGGGCGCUAAAAUAAAGUCAAUUGUACGGACCGGCGCAAUGUACAAAAGUGAGUUAUUUUACGUUAUUUUAUUAUCCUUUAUCUUUAAAAUGCCACGUACAUUCCCAACAUUUUUUAACGUUUCCAAACUGACUGGUUAAUUUAGAGUUUCCGGAAAUAUCCCCUCCCUUUGCAACCGUAUUCACAAGAAACUGCCUGCAUAGGAACAAUAGAAGAGAAUGUUACACAUUUCCCUUUUGUACAAAUUACAGGGAGAACUUACAUUCAUCGCAGUGUAAAGAUGUUCCUCUUGCACUACAAAAUAAAAUAAAAAUGCUUUAAUAAUUGAAUAAAUAACCACAAUAUAACAGUAUAAUGAACAAGUGGUCCUUUACCAAUAUUUGUAAUCAGCAGGAUAAAUGGUAAUCACAAUGACUUACCUUGUUAGAAUUAGCUCCUCCUGAGACAGAUUCUGAUACAGUUGUGAAAAAGGAUUGCAGCUUCAUGUGCAGUAUAUAGCCUAUAGUAAAACGUGAAAUUGACUGGUGCAGUUACUUUCACCCUCCAGUGUUAGAUAUGUAUGUAUCAAGUGACGAGGGCUGUCUAGCUCUCCUAUUUCUAUACCCAUCUAUACCCAACAUAAAUGGAACCAUUACAGGAAUAAAGGGGCCAUAAUUUCACUUUCAACAUGACUCUGUUUUAGACAGGAGAGAACGACUGCCCCAUCUCAUUAAGGAUCUCAAGUUGAAGGCCGACCAAAAUACUGAAGGUGGUUGUAUCCAGAAAGCAGGAUACUCCAUUAUAGUCAAUAGGAAAAUUGCAAUCUUUGUGGUCAAUAUUUGUUUCAGAAGACAAUCAAGGUUACAAUACUUGUGAAUAUUUUGGGUAAGUCUCUAAGAGCUUUACACUGCUGGAUUGUACAAUAUUUACACAUGAUUAUUUAAAAAAUUCUUCAAGGUCUGUCAAGUUGUUUGUUGAUCAUUGCUAGACAGCCAUUUUCAAGUCUAGCCAUAGAAUGUCGAUGCCAAUUUAAGUCAAAACUGUAAAUUGGCCACUCAGGAACAUUCAAUGUUGUCUUGGUAAGCAAGUCCAGGCUACAUUGGGCCUUGUGAACCAGGCCUUCCUGUAGGAUUUUGCCUGUGCUUAGCUUUAUUCCGUUUCACAAAUUCACAACUCGACUGGGGGACCUUCCAGAUAAUUGUACGUGUGGUGUACAGAGAUGAGGUAGUCAUUAAAAAAAUCCUUUUAAACACUAUUAUUGCACACACAUUGAGUCCAUGCAACCUAUGUGACUUGUUAAGCACAUUUUGACUCAACUUACCUAGGCUUGCCAUAAAGGGCUUGAAUACUUGACUCAAUACAUUUCAGCUUUUAAUUCAUUUGAAAUUUUAAAAAGCAUAAUUCCACUGACAUUAUGGGAUAUUGUGUGUAGGCCAGUGACAAAAUCUCAAAUGAAUCAGUUUUAAAUUCAUGUGGUAACAUAAAAAAUUGUGGAAAAACAUUGUGGUGUGAAUACUUUCUGAAUGGACGAUAUUACACCAGCUGCAUGUCCUUGAACCAUUUUUUUUUAAAUCACAAGAAAUGAGGAUAAUUGAGUUGCUAUCGGCAGCCUUCACUAAUUACCACAGUCAGUCAUAAACCCUGUCUAUUUCUAUAAUCUCUUUUUAAAGAUCUGAUUUUAGACCUAACCACACUGCUAACCUUAAUCCCAACUUUUGUUAAUUUCCCACAAGACAAACUCAAAAUGUUGCUCAUACCAAAGGGAACUAACAAAGAAAAUCACUGACAACCAAAACAGAACAGAAAGCGGUUCAAAAGAGGUUCUGGAAGGCACCCAUGUGGGUGCCCAAUGAAAGUUGGUAUAGCCACUAGUAAGAGGUUCUAAAAGACACCCACCAUGGAUGCCCACUAGGUUUGCCUAAGAAAAAAACUAACUAAUAGAAAAGCACACAACUUGGGAUAAGAAGUAAAUAGAAUAUGGAGCUAAACAAAAACCGGUGAAACUCCACAAAUCAGGCUUCUUUCAAACUUAAAAGGUUGCGAUCAAACUCGCACCUCAGCUGACAUCAAGUGUAGCUCUCCCAACAUCUCUCAAGCUCACUUGGAGCACUGGGCCAGCCAGUCUUAAAUAGCACAGGUGAAACACCUUCCGACUAAUGAGAUGGACAAGCCAGCACAGGUGUAACACAUAGUUACUAACGAGGUGACACCAAUCGGUGCGCCUUACUUGCUAACAUGCUACCUCAAAAAAUAAAUAGAAAAACCCAGACUUGUAACACUAACCCAAACCUUAUGAGUUGUGUUCGAGUAUAUGCUCCACGUUCUGUCCCUAACUAGGGGGUGUUUCGAUACAUUUUUUUGUUUUAUAAUGGUUACAUGUUCAGUACACACCCCUGCAUUCUAUAUUAUUAAGUAGGCUGUUGGUCUUUGAGGUCCGUUAUGUCAAUUUGCCUUUAUACAUCUCAUUGACCUACUGUCAACUCCCUCAGUUGUAAACAUCUACAAUAAUCAUUAGACGUACGCGUCAGAGUUAUCAUACCCCGUGUCGGGGUUUGUACAGAGUUGGUUAAAUCCGCUCUUUUGCGCCCCACUUACAUGGCUAAUAAUCUCCAAGCUGCUCAGCUGUGGUAACAUAGUGUUAAAGUAUAUGCUCCACGUUCUGUCCCUAACUAUCGAAAGUACGGAAUGAGUUUCGGGAGAUAUCCUGUAUCAAAUCAAGAAUCGGCUUUCUAUUCCGCAACAAAGCCUCCUUCACUCACGCUGCCAAGCUUACCCUAGUAAAACUGACUAUCCUACCGAUCCUCGACUUCGGCGACAUCAUCUACAAAAUUGCUUCUAACACUCUACUCAGCAAACUGGAUGCAGUUUAUCACAGUGCCAUCCGUUUUGUCACUAAAGCACCUUAUACUACCCACCACUGCGACUUGUAUGCUCUAGUCGGCUGGCCCUCGCUACAUAUUCGUCGCCAGACCCACUGGCUCCAGGUCAUCUACAAGGCCAUGCUAGGCAAAGCUCCGCCUUAUCUCAGCUCACUGGUCACGAUGGCAACACCCAUCCGUAGCACGCGCUCCAGCAGGUGUAUCUCAUUGAUCAUCCCUAAAGCCAACACCUCAUUCGGCCGCCUUUCGUUCCAGUACUCUGCUGCCUGUGACUGGAACGAAUUGCAAAAAUCGCUGAAGUUGGAGACUUUUAUCUCCCUCACCAACUUCAAACAUCAGCUAGCUGAGCAGCUAACCGAUCGCUGCAGCUGUACAUAAUCUAUUGGUAAAUAGCACACCCAUUUUCACCCACCUCAUCCCCACAGUUUUUAUUGAUUUACUUUUCUGCUCUUUUGCACACCAAUAUCUCUACCUGUACAUGAUCAUCUGAUCAUUUAUCACUCCAGUGUUAAUCUGCAAUAUUGUAAUUAUUCGCCUACCUCCCCAUGCCUUUUGCACACAUUGUAUAUAGACUCCCCUUUUUUCUCUGUGUUAUUGACUUGUUAAUUGUUUACUCCAUGUGUAACUCUGUGUUGUCUGUUCACACUGCUAUGCUUUAUCUUGGCCAGGUCGCAGUUGCAAAUGAGAACCUGUUCUCAACUAGCCUACCUGGUUAAAUAAAGGUGAAAUAUAUAUAUAUUUUUUUUUAAAGUAUGCAACACCUUGUAUAUUUGGUUUAGAGAACAAUGGCUGUGAAUUCAAACAACAGGAGGGGAUGUCGAGCCAUUCUGUCUACAACCGGGGUGGGGGGCACCGGGCUCUGCUUAGAGAUAUCAAUGUUUAACCCCGGGUGGUCAGCAGAUAUCUCGACAUGCCUUAUGCAUGAUAGUGCACACCUUGGUUUCAAACGAUUCUCUACAGAUAGAAUGGGGCUACAUGCUUGGGCCCCUGUUGAACACACACACAAACCCUUUGUUUUUGAAACGCACACACACACACUCCUGCUGCUCUGUCACACGCACACUCAUGCACGCACCCUGAUUUUCCAUGUCUUCUUCUUCGUGACAGACCGGGGUGAUGUCUGGAAAGGACAUUUUCCUAUCAUUAAAGGAUAAAGGGUCCGGUUAGCCCUGACCAUUAUCCGUUUCGAAUUCACCAACUCAAAGACGCUUGCCCGCUCCAUCAUAACUCCGUACGUUUUCCCUCCCUGUGUAGAUCAACCGUCCUGCCUGUAAAUCCUGGGUAUGCCCACAGAAUUU